rnacentral:rRNA from 1 species
GACGAACGCUGGCGGCGUGCUUAACACAUGCAAGUCGAGCGGAAAGGCCCUUCGGGGUACUCGAGCGGCGAACGGGUGAGUAACACGUGAGUAACCUGCCCCCGACUUUGGGAUAACCCUCGGAAACGGGGGCUAAUACCGGAUACGACACAGCUUCGCAUGGGGUCUGUGUGGAAAGUUUUUCGGCUUGGGAUGGGCUCGCGGCCUAUCAGCUUGUUGGUGGGGUGAUGGCCUACCAAGGCGACGACGGGUAGCCGGCCUGAGAGGGCGACCGGCCACACUGGGACUGAGACACGGCCCAGACUCCUACGGGAGGCAGCAGUGGGGAAUAUUGCACAAUGGGGGGAAGCCUGAUGCAGCGACGCCGCGUGAGGGAUGACGGCCUUCGGGGUGUAAACCUCUUUCAGCAGGGACGAAGCGUAAGUGACGGUACCUGCAGAAGAAGCGCCGGCUAACUACGUG